GCGGCUGACCGGGUGGGGGUGGAAAGGUCAGGACCCCUCAGGCCUCCGGAGCCCUGGCUCACUGAGCCUGACUGUCUGCAACCCUUGGAGUAGUGUACUUGAUGGAAAGGUCAGAGCCAAGGAGAAACACUCCAGAAUUAUCCAUGCAGCGGGGUCUCUGUGGAGACAAACUCUAAGACUGCCAUAGGAUGGACAAUAAAGAGCCACUGGAAAAGAGAAGGACCUACCCUUCCAUCUCUCCAAAGUGACAUUCCUCAGGACCCAACACAGUCCUCCGUCAAGAGUGACUGCUUUUUCUCUAGUCUGGAGUUGAUCUAACUCUUAGCCAACCUUGAUACCUCAGGCCAAUGACACUCUGCUUCUAUUACUCCAGACACAGGGGAAUCUCAGCCCCACGGUUUCUUCGUAAGCCUGGCAACUGCUUUGAGUUUGCCUUCUCCUCACCAGGCUCAGCUAUGAAUUGUGCGUACAGCUUCCCUAUCAUAAGAUCUCACCAGGGAGCAACUGGCCUGGGGAAGCUGAACUGGGAGGGACUGAGUCAGCAAAAAGCACGGUCGGGGCAGGCAGGACGGAGGGUGUGGGAAGGGAAGGCGUGCACGCUGACUUCAGCAGAAAGUAUGAUACAUUUUUAAAUGGUGCAUCGUGCAGGAAACAAGCAGUACCUAACUCCCUCCGUCGGCCCACCUCAAACCUCUCAGUCUAGAGGAAGUAAGUGCCAGCAAGGGCAAAUGUCACAGAAUGUUAGGGAAUGAAAGCAGACUAAUAUUUACAAUAUGUCUGAUACGAGACAUGUAUUUUCAUAUUUGCUUUGAAAAGCAAGCCUCCGCUAUAGCUAUCCCCUACAUGACAGACAAGGAAGUUUUUGCUCAGAGAAAUGAAGCUUAAAUUCCUGUUCUGGGAGGAGCAAAAUGAGGUUCAGUCCUGGGUCUCCCUGGAAGGCAUAAUGCACUUUCCCUUGUCAUAUUAGAGGGCGUGAAACUCUACCUACCGAAGGGUCUGUACGGCAGCCGUUGUCGGAAAUGGACAUUUUAGGGAAAUAAAAACUGAGAUGUUUGGAUACUUCCAAUUAUCCUAAAAAUAUAUUUGCUUAAGCAAAUCUUCUCCGUUGGCAAAUCGUCUCUCCUGAGGGAAUACAAUCUCAUAAGCUUGGUUUAAAACAUUUUCUAAUAUAUAUGGCAUAAAUAUUUCUCUUGUGGCCCAUUUCAUGCUGUCAAAUUUAACAGUUGGCUCACCAGAUCCGAAAAAUGUACUGACCAAUCAGCUCACCGGAGCUAGGAGAUGGAUGCUUUCACAUUGCCCUGGGACCCAGGAGUCCCACUCUGCAGUAACUGACAGGUGUGGUUUGGGGACAUAAAAAUCUGGCCUGAGGGUGUCAAUACUGGGACACUGCGAAGUGCCAUCUAGAUUAGAGAUCUCUCUGAUGAAGACCUCGCUGUUCUUGCCGCCUGGGAUGUGAUAAGUCUAUUCAACAGCUGCCAAGGCGACAGAGCCACUUCUCUCAGGGUCACACCCUUUACAGAACAUCUCCUAUCCAGACACAGAAUAAGGUUUAGGGUUGAGGUUUGGUCUAUUGCUAUGGAUCAUAAUACUAACUGUGGGCUCCUCGAGGACCGGUUGCCCCAGAGACGAGAGAGAGUCCACAGUUAGACCCAAGUGAUGCUAUGCAACCUUACCUCUCAAGAUAUCUCUGACUGGUGAAUAAAGAUGCCUACAGCCAACAUCUGGGCAGGAUAGAGA
ensembl:antisense Gm16262 uncharacterized LOC110327599